UACAGAGGGGGCAAACGUUGUUCGGAAUUACUGGGCGUAAAGGGCGCGUAGGCGGCCUUCUAAGUCGAACGUGAAAUCCCCGGGCUCAACCCGGGAACUGCGUCCGAUACUGGAAGGCUUGAAUCCGGGAGAGGGAUGCGGAAUUCCAGGUGUAGCGGUGAAAUGCGUAGAUAUCAGGAGGAACACCGGUGGCGAAGGCGGAUCUCUGGGCCAUUACUGACGCUGAGGAGCGAAAGCGUGGGGAGCGAACAGG
rnacentral:rRNA from 1 species